GAUGAACGCUGGCGGCGUGCCUAAUACAUGCAAGUCGAGCGAACGGACGAGAGUGCUUGCACUCUCUGACGUUAGCGGCGGACGGGUGAGUAACACGUGGGUAACCUACCUAUAAGACUGGGAUAACUUCGGGAAACCGGAGCUAAUACCGGAUAAUAUUUAGCUUCGCAUGAAGCAAUAGUGAAAGACGGUUCUGCUGUCACUUAUAGAUGGACCCGCGGUGUAUUAGCUAGUUGGUGAGGUAACGGCUCACCAAGGCAACGAUACAUAGCCGACCUGAGAGGGUGAUCGGCCACACUGGGACUGAGACACGGCCCAGACUCCUACGGGAGGCAGCAGUAGGGAAUCUUCCGCAAAGGACGAAAGUCUGACGGAGCAAUGCCGCGUGAGUGAAGAAGGUUUUCGGAUCGUAAAACUCUGUUGUAAGGGAAGAACAAGUACGUUAGUAACUGAACGUACCUUGACGGUACCUUACCAGAAAGCCACGGCUAACUACAUG
rnacentral:rRNA from 1 species